UUGGAAACAGGUGCUAAUACCGUAUAACAACAAAAUCCGCAUGGAUUUUGUUUGAAAGGUGCCUUCGGCUAUCACUUCGGGAUGAUCCCGCGGCGUAUUAGUUAGUUGGGGAGGUAAAGGCCCACCAAGACGAUGAUACGUAGCCGACCUGAGAGGGUAAUCGGCCACAUUGGGACUGAGACACGGCCCAAACUCCUACGGGAGGCAGCAGUAGGGAAUCUUCCACAAUGGACGAAAGUCUGAUGGAGCAAUGCCGCGUGAGUGAAGAAGGGUUUCGGCUCGUAAAACUCUGUUGUUAAAGUAAGAACACCUUUGAGAGUAACUGUUCAAGGGUUGACGGUAUUUAACCAGAAAGCCACGGCUAACUACGUGCCAGCAGCCGCGGUAAUACGUAGGUGGCAAGCGUUGUCCGGAUUUAUUGGGCGUAAAGCGAGCGCCAGCGCGGUUUUUUAAGUCUGAUGUGAAAGCCUUCGGCUUAACGCGGAGAAGUGCAUCGGAAACUGGGAGCCUUGAGUGCAGAAGAGGACAGUGGAACUCCAUGUGUAGCGGUGGAAUGCGUAGAUAUAUGGAAGAACACCAGUGGCGAAGGCGGCUGUCUAGUCUGUAACUGACGCUGAGGCUCGAAAGCAUGGGUAGCGAACAGGAUUAGAUACCCUGGUAGUCCAUGCCGUAAACGAUGAGUGCUAAGUGUUGGAGGGUUUCCGCCCUUCAGUGCUGCAGCUAACGCAUUAAGCACUCCGCCUGGGGAGUACGACCGCAAGGUUGAAACUCAAAGGAAUUGACGGGGGCCCGCACAAGCGGUGGAGCAUGUGGUUUAAUUCGAAGCUACGCGAAGAACCUUAGCCAGGUCUUGACAUCUUCUGCCAAUCUUAGAGAUAAGACGUUCCCUUCGGGGACAGAAUGACAGGUGGUGCAUGGUUGUCGUCAGCUCGUGUCGUGAGAUGUUGGGUUAAGUCCCGCAACGAGCGCAACCCUUAUUAUCAGUUGCCAGCAUUCAGUUGGGCACUCUGGUGAGACUGCCGGUGACAAACCGGAGGAAGGUGGGGAUGACGUCAAAUCAUCAUGCCCCUUAUGACCUGGGCUACACACGUGCUACAAUGGACGGUACAACGAGUUGCGAAGUCGUGAGGCUAAGCUAAUCUCUUAAAGCCGUUCUCAGUUCGGAUUGUAGGCUGCAACUCGCCUACAUGAAGUUGGAAUCGCUAGUAAUCGCGGAUCAGCAUGCCGCGGUGAAUACG
rnacentral:rRNA from 2 species